rnacentral:lncRNA from 1 species
ACUAUAAGGACGGGUUUGUGCGUUAUGGCAUGCGUUAGCAUGCGUUAAGCAUGGAAAUUCCGCAUGCGGCAAGCACGAAAAGUGCGUGCGGUACGCAGGAGGAAGCACACCGCUCGCAUGCGUCAAGGACAAGCACUUACGUUAGCUAACGCAUGGUAGUUGCCAGGACUUGCCGCGCCGCUCCCCUCUGGCUGGCACGCAUGCGUAUGCAUCCUUAGCAUACGCACGAUUAAGCACAAAUAAAGCAAAAAUGCCGGUUGCUUAGAGCUCUACGCAUGGUCUCACGCAUGCGGCACGCCUGUGCUUUACCUAAAGCAAGCUGCCACCCGGCGCUGUGUGCGUCCCGCCCGAUACUGUGCGCGUCCCGCACGGCACAUAAAAUGGGGCACAUGAGGCACCUGAAGCUCUCUUGAUGUGUUACAGUUCAUGCAUCUGCGCUCCGACACGUGCCCCUCGUACUGGUGUCGUGGUGUGCCAAAAUGGUGCAAGUCCGCACGGCUCUCCCGCUCCGUCCCCACACGACCCGCAACCCACCACGUGCUGCACGCACACACUCUGCAAGGUCUGCCAUUGCUACAAAACACUAAACGUACAGACCAGGCAUACUCAGGGUCUCGAGGCAAGUGUGAAGGCAACCGAUACGGAUCCCCUGCCAGCACUACACCCAGCCACCCGCCGAUCACACCAUAACACCAUGCGCGCACAGCGCCGCCUGCCAAUUCCGCUGCCGCCACCUGAAGUCUGCCGCUUGCCGCUAGCCACCUCCGUGCUUUAGCUCGGCCUGCAUGGUGUUUGGAGUAAGUUGGUCAGUGAAUGGUGGCACGGUGUCAUGCUAGCUCUAGGUACACGCAGGGCCUAGACCGCAUUCGGUCCCCUAGAACUAACUUCCCAUGUACGUCAUUCAAAUCCAAUCAUUCAUCCUAUUAUGAGUUGUGUAGCAAUUUCCGAUCAAACUUGCCUGGUGAGGGUUAGAAGGGCCACGCAUUUACGCGCGCUGCGCCCCGAGUCGAAUUCCAGUGCCGGACCUGAGGGGACAAGGGGAGGGGGAGGGGGGGAGCUUCACAUUCUGCAGUUCUGCCUAUGCUCUUACAACUUCGUCCAUACUGCGCAUGGAUGCUAGCUCGCUUGACCCCCUGAAUUUGUUGUCGCUUGUCGACCCCCUGAAUUGGCUGUCGCUAUGUACCUGCCUCACCUGGCACUGUUGAUUCCAGACUCUCUGAUGCUUGAUUUACAUCCUGUAACAGCAGCGUCAAGACCUGGCUUAGUUGUAGACCCGGUCAACGAGGGUCCGACACCCCCUGCGACAGCGCAGCCUAGCCCCAGCACCAGCAGCUCAUCACAUACCUUCCAAAGAUUGAUGCCAGGGCUUAGCAGGACUUGAAGACUCGCCCAGUAGACUUGAGCGCCAACUUUGAAAGCAAGUCCAUUGCCGACUGGCAGAGGACCACGAAGCCUCUACAUGGCACUGAACGAUAAGUAUGUAGCUACAUGUGACAAAGACAGGUUGCUUGAAGAGUGAAGAACUGAACUCGAAAUACAUGAGCCCCAUGCAGCCCCAUGCAACAAGGAACGCGCUCCAUGCUGGGUCUUGAUUUGCUGUGCAUGCUCCGGUCAGACCUUAAAUCAAUCUGCAGCAGGCCGGUGCGUCAGUCUUCAGCGCCGGUCCGGGCACGGGUCUCGCCUCGGCCUGCGCCUCCGCGGCUUGUGCUUAGGGAACCACCUGGAGCUGGGUACCGGCUUUCUCGGCUUCGCAUGGUUCGUCUUUAAAGCUUUCUCAGUAACGGGGAAAGCCUCACAUGCACACGCACCUCCGCUCAUGCCCACCGCCGCAUGAAGGAAGGCCGGGGGAGGCCUGGUGCGCCGGGCAGGAUACGGGGUAAGGCUCACAUGCACACGCACCCUCCUGUGGCGUUGCGGUCUGUCUGUGUGGUGCUAUCGCCUGGCCGGGCGCCCGGAGCGUGAGGAAUGCGCAUCAGCAGACUUCCAGCCAGCCAGGAACUUGUCGGUACAGUAACGCCGGCGUUCGACCAGCCAUGCACUUCUGCUCUGCCACUGCAAACUGUUUG